rnacentral:rRNA from 1 species
GACGUAGGGCGCGAGCGUUGUCCGGAUUUAUUGGGCGUAAAGAGCUCGUAGGCGGCUGUCCACGUCGGGUGUGAAAGCUCAGGGCUCAACCCUGAGAUGCCAUUCGAUACGGGACGGCUAGAGGUAGGUAGGGGAGAUUGGAAUUCCUGGUGUAGCGGUGAAAUGCGCAGAUAUCAGGAGGAACACCGGUGGCGAAGGCGGAUCUCUGGGCCUUACCUGACGCUGAGGAGCGAAAGCUGGGGGAGCAAACAGG